rnacentral:rRNA from 1 species
UACGGAGGAUCCAAGCGUUAUCCGGAAUCAUUGGGUUUAAAGGGUCCGUAGGCGGGACAAUAAGUCAGUGGUGAAAGUCUGCAGCUCAACUGUAGAAUUGCCAUUGAAACUGUUGUUCUUGAGUUAUUAUGAAGUGGUUAGAAUGAGUAGUGUAGCGGUGAAAUGCAUAGAUAUUACUCAGAAUACCGAUUGCGAAGGCAGAUCACUAAUAAUACACUGACGCUGAUGGACGAAAGCGUAGGUAGCGAACAGG